GGGGCUGCGGGAGCUUUCUCGGCGGCAGGCAGGAGUUUCUGCGGAGCCUCCGGGAGUCCCCUAAGCAUCUGUUCCCGCUCCCCAGGGGCGGGGAGGUCACCUUCUUGGUUCCCCAUCCGCCUGCGACCGGUUCGGCGGUGAGUGAAAGUGCGAAAAGCCGGGGCCUACCCAAGCCGGGCCUGCUGCGGGGCUUUCUGAAAAGUCAGCACGGAGCCCACGGACCCGGCCCCGCGCAAAGGGCAGUGCUAGGCCUCGGAGAAAAGGAAAGCACCCUGUCCUCCGUGCUGGGGUGGAGCUGAGACGAGUUCUUCAUGGGUAGAGGCAGAGGGAUGUACGUGCAUUGCUGAAGCCUCGGAAAACUGGAGGAGCCUAUAGAAGAAAAUGAAAAUCGCCGGUAUUUCCACCAUUUAGAGUGAAAUGCACUGACCUGAAGUGUCUGAUGCAAUGGAUUUUGACAACUGUCUACACCCAUUUGUACACCCCUCCCAUCAAGAUCUAGAACAUUUCCGUUGCCCCAGAAAUUCCCCUCAGGUCCCUUCCAGUCAGCCCCAUCCUCCUGCUGUCUAUCACCAUAAAUUAGUUUUGCCUGUCAUACAGUUGGCAUCAUGUGGCAUGUGGGCGUCUGUGCCUGGCUCCCCUCACUCAGCGUGAAUAAUGUUUUUGGAGUCAGCCAUGUAGCAGUAGCUUGCUCCUUUCCCUUGCUGAGUAGUGUUCCAUCGUGUGGCUACACCACAAUGUGCUCAGCCAUUCUCCCUGCCAUCGUCUUUUAGGUAGUCUUCGCUCUGGGGCUAUUAUGAAUAAAGCCACUUAUAAACGUAAGUGGACAAGUCUGUGUGUAAGAUGGAGGUUUUCAUUUUUCUUAAACACUUAAGAGUGGGAUUGCUGGGUCAUAAGAUUACCUUCUAGGAGAAAUUGCCAACAGUUUUCUAAAGUGGUCGUACCAUUUUCUAUUUCCACCAGCACUGUAUGAGGGUUCCAGGUGUUUACUAUUAUUAUUUUUUAAUUACACAAAUUAUACAUGGGUAUAUUCUUCUGUAAGGUUUAUUAAGUACAUUCGGAUAGCCACCUAGCACCCACCACUCCCCCCAGAGUAACCACCAUCAGCAGUUUGGGGUGCUUCCUUA